AGUGAACGCUGGCGGUAGGCCUAACACAUGCAAGUCGAACGGCAGCACAGUAAGAGCUUGCUCUUACGGGUGGCGAGUGGCGGACGGGUGAGGAAUACAUCGGAAUCUACUUUUUCGUGGGGGAUAACGUAGGGAAACUUACGCUAAUACCGCAUACGACCUACGGGUGAAAGCAGGGGAUCUUCGGACCUUGCGCGAUUGAAUGAGCCGAUGUCGGAUUAGCUAGUUGGCGGGGUAAAGGCCCACCAAGGCGACGAUCCGUAGCUGGUCUGAGAGGAUGAUCAGCCACACUGGAACUGAGACACGGUCCAGACUCCUACGGGAGGCAGCAGUGGGGAAUAUUGUACAAUGGGCGCAAGCCUGAUCCAGCCAUACCGCGUGGGUGAAGAAGGCCUUCGGGUUGUAAAGCCCUUUUGUUGGGAAAGAAAAGCAGCAGGUUAAUACCCCGCUGUUCUGACGGUACCCAAAGAAUAAGCACCGGCUAACUUCGUG
rnacentral:rRNA from 1 species